GAGAAGUGAAGAAUGGUGAAGUUUUUUAUGGAAGAAUGGUGAGUUCUAUUUAUAAACAUUUCUCCUCAUAAAUUCUGUUAGAAAUGCUAAUGAAAUGAAAUUCAAAUUAAGUUGAAAUUAGGAAUUAGUUGUAAGUUAGUUAGAAAUGAAACCCAAAUUCAAUAGUUAGUUAGUUUUGAAGGUUGUUAGGAAUGAGAGUAUUUGAUUUUGUUAAUUUAACACCACGCCUACUGUAAAAAUAUGCCAUUGCAGGUUAGUGUUAGUUGCUCUAUUUUGUUAUGUUGGUAUUAGUUUAGGAUUGGAUCAUUACUUGUGAUAGUUAAAUUAUUAGCGACGCAUGAAGCUCCUAUUUCACCUGCGUGUUAGUCAAUUAGGCGUAAUUCUUAUUGAUUGCAAUGUAAUUAAAUUGAAACGGGAUAAAUGUUUUUGUUGUGAUAUGCAACUUUUUCUAACUAGAAAUGUGUUCAACUUUUGGUGCUUUUACAGUAGCACGGUUGCAAAGAUGCCGAAGUGGUGAGGAAGGCUUCGUUGCAGGCCAUUUGUCGAAACAUUUUCCGACCACUGAACCUUGGCAUGCUAAGCCUUUCGUGACGUCCUGCAGACUCAAUAUCAAUAUGUAGUUGGAUUAAAUUACUUAGUCUUCGGUAAGUAAUAACUUUUGUUAGCUGCUCUUAUUUUCCCUGAACAUGGAUGGAGUUAGUUGGAGUAUGAAUUUAAUUACGAUCAUAUGAAAACGAAUAAGUUACUAAGAAUCAAGUUUGUUAAUGUUAGUUGUUUGAUUUCUGUUAUGAUGUAUGGUUAAUGUCAUCAAUCUUUGGAUUGAAUGCUUAUUUGUAGACUGCCUAUUAAUUUUUCCUGUUAUAGAUGCACUAUGGACAAGCUAUUAUGCAUGUUAUGUUGUGAAAUGCAUCUACACUAUUAUGCUUCAGCUAUGACUGGUUUGCAUUUUCCUCCAUAACUGGUAGUACAACAACCUCUUCUUGUUUUUUCUCAUGGUCUGUUAUUUCUAAAUCCACUUCUAGCAACUCGUCCUCUUCCACCUGUUUAUUCUCAGAAUUCUCAGCAGACUUACCACUUCUGGUUACAACAACACUCACGUUAUUAUGUUCUCUUGGGUUUAUCACAGUUCCACUAGGUAGUGUACCUGGUGCUUGGGAACCAGCUAGUUGUUGUGCUAUUUGCCCCAUUUGUACUUCAAUAUUCUUUAUAGAAGUUGUGGUGUUUAUUUGAUGAUUUCUGGUCUCUUCUUGGAAUUGAAUAUUAUGAGCUCUCAUAUUUUCAAUGGCUAUUUCUCAAUCUGCUUUCUUGGGAGCUUGUUGUUGUUGUGAUUGUUAAAAUUGAUUAUGGUAUUGACUUUGACCCUGUUGUUGAACAUUCCCUUUCUGGUCUUUCCAGGAGAAGUAAGGAUGAUUCUUCCAUCCUGGAUUAUAUGUGUUAGAGUAAGGGUUGUUCUGCCUCAUAAAAUUUAUCUCCUUUAUUUGCUUUGCAGUUACAACACAGUAUGCAGUCGAAUGAGGUCCUCCACAAACUUCACAACUUAUAUUUUGGACUGGGUGAAUUUGAG
rnacentral:lncRNA from 1 species